GGGUUGUGAGGUUAAGCGACUAAGCGUACACGGUGGAUGCCCUGGCAGUCAGAGGCGAUGAAGGGCGUGCUAAUCUGCGAUAAGCGCCGGUAAGGUGAUAUGAACCGUUAUAACCGGCGAUACCCGAAUGGGGAAACCCAGUGUGAUUCGUCACACUAUCAUUAACUGAAUCCAUAGGUUAAUGAGGCGAACCGGGGGAACUGAAACAUCUAAGUACCCCGAGGAAAAGAAAUCAACCGAGAUUCCCCCAGUAGCGGCGAGCGAACGGGGAGGAGCCCAGAGCCUGAAUCAGCAUGUGUGUUAGUGGAAGCGUCUGGAAAGGCGCGCGAUACAGGGUGACAGCCCCGUACACAAAAGCGCAUGUGCUGUGAGCUCGAUGAGUAGGGCGGGACACGUGAUAUCCUGUCUGAAUAUGGGGGGACCAUCCUCCAAGGCUAAAUACUCCUGACUGACCGAUAGUGAACCAGUACCGUGAGGGAAAGGCGAAAAGAACCCCGGCGAGGGGAGUGAAAAAGAACCUGAAACCGUGUACGUACAAG
rnacentral:rRNA from 1 species